UCUAGGCCAGCUUGGCGUUGGUUGUCCAAGUUUAAGGUGGUAGGCUGAAAUCUUAGGUAAAUCCGGGGUUUCAAGGCCGAGAGCUGAUGACGAGUCGUCUUUUAGAUGACGAAGUGGUUGAUGCCAUGCUUCCAAGAAAAGCUUCUAAGCUUCAGGUAACCAGGAACCGUACCCCAAACCGACACAGGUGGUCGGGUAGAGAAUACCAAGGCGCUUGAGAGAACUCGGGUGAAGGAACUAGGCAAAAUGGCACCGUAACUUCGGGAGAAGGUGCGCCGGCUAGGGUGAAGGAUUUAUUCCGUAAGCUCUGGCUGGUCGAAGAUACCAGGCCGCUGCGACUGUUUAUUAAAAACACAGCACUCUGCAAACACGAAAGUGGACGUAUAGGGUGUGACGCCUCCCCGGUGCCGGAAGGUUAAUUGAUGGGGUUAGCGCAAGCGAAGCUCUUGAUCGAAGCCCCGGUAAACGGCGGCCGUAACAAUAACGGUCCUAAGGUAGCGAAAUUCCUUGUCGGGUAAGUUCCGACCUGCACGAAUGGCGUAACGAUGGCGGCGCUGUCUCCACCCGAGACUCAGUGAAAUUGAAAUCGCUGUGAAGAUGCAGUGUAUCCGCGGCUAGACGGAAAGACCCCGUGAACCUUUACUGUAGCUUUGCACUGGACUUUGAGCCUGCUUGUGUAGGAUAGGUGGGAGGCUUUGAAGCGUGGACGCCAGUUCGCGUGGAGCCAUCCUUGAAAUACCACCCUGGCAUGCUUGAGGUUCUAACUCUGGUCCGUAAUCCGGAUCGAGGACAGUGUAUGGUGGGCAGUUUGACUGGGGCGGUCUCCUCCUAAAGAGUAACGGAGGAGUACGAAGGUGCGCUCAGACCGGUCGGAAAUCGGUCGCAGAGUAUAAAGGCAAAAGCGCGCUUGACUGCGAGACAGACACGUCGAGCAGGUACGAAAGUAGGUCUUAGUGAUCCGGUGGUUCUGUAUGGAAGGGCCAUCGCUCAACGGUUAAAAGGUACUCCGGGAUAACAGGCUGAUACCGCCCAAGAGUUCAUAUCGACGGCGGUGUUUGGCACCUCGAUGUCGGCUCAUCACAUCCUGGGGCUGAAGCCGGUCCCAAGGGUAUGGCUGUUCGCCAUUUAAAGUGGUACGCGAGCUGGGUUUAGAACGUCGUGAGACAGUUCGGUCCCUAUCUGCCGUGGACGUUUGAGAUUUGAGAGGGGCUGCUCCAAGUACGAGAGGACCGGAGUGGACGAACCUCUGGUGUUCCGGUUGUCACGCCAGUGGCAUUGCCGGGUAGCUAUGUUCGGAAAAGAUAACCGCUGAAAGCAUCUAAGCGGGAAACUUGCCUCAAGAUGAGAUCUCACUGGGAACUUGAUUCCCCUGAAGGGCCGUCGAAGACUACGACGUUGAUAGGCUGGGUGUGUAAGCGUUGUGAGGCGUUGAGCUAACCAGUACUAAUUGCCCGUGAGGCUUGAUC
rnacentral:rRNA from 1 species